GGGCCCGCACAAGCGGUGGAGCAUGUGGUUUAAUUCGAUGAUACGCGAGGAACCUUACCAGGGCUUAAAUGUAAGUUGCAUGGAUCAGAGAUGAUCCUUUCUUCGGACCACUUACAAGGUGCUGCAUGGUUGUCGUCAGCUCGUGCCGUGAGGUGUCAGGUUAAGUCCUAUAACGAGCGCAACCCCUAUCGUUAGUUGCCAGCAAGUAAAGUUGGGUACUCUAGCGAGACUGCCGGUGCAAACCGAGAGGAAGGUGGGGAUGACGUCAAAUCAUCACGGCCCUUACGUCCUGGGCUACACACGUGCUACAAUGGCCGGUACAGAGAGCAGCCACCACGCGAGUGGGAGCGAAUCUUCAAAACCGGUCUCAGUUCGGAUCGCAGUCUGCAACUCGACUGCGUGAAGCUGGAAUCGCUAG
rnacentral:rRNA from 1 species